rnacentral:rRNA from 1 species
GACGUAGGGCGCAAGCGUUGUCCGGAUUUAUUGGGCGUAAAGAGCUCGUAGGCGGCUUGUCGCGUCGACUGUGAAAACCCGCAGCUUAACUGCGGGACUGCAGUCGAUACGGGCAGGCUAGAGUUCGGUAGGGGAGACUGGAAUUCCUGGUGUAGCGGUGAAAUGCGCAGAUAUCGAGAGGAACACCUGCGGCGAAGGCGGGUUGCUGGGCCGACACUGACGCUGAUGCGCGAAAGCCAGGGGAGCGAACGGG